AACGCACGAGACCUGCGGACCUGCGGAAGGAUCAUUAAAAUAUUACUAGUUAGCUUUGGAGAUUCCUCCAGAGUUAAUUAUGUAUUUCAAUCACUUGUUUACUUAUACCUGUUGCUUCCGUGAAAAUUAGGGUGCCUGCACUAUUCGUAGUUGUAGGUUACCUUUCACGGGUGUUUUUUAAAAAAAUUUGUUUUGAAUGACUUGUCUGAUUAUUAGUUUUAAAUAAAGUUAAAACUUUCA
rnacentral:misc_RNA from 1 species